rnacentral:rRNA from 1 species
ACGGGAGGCAGCAGUGAGGAAUAUUGGUCAAUGGGCGGAAGCUUGAACCAGCCAAGUAGCGUGAAGGAUGACGGCCCUACGGGUUGUAAACUUCUUUUGCCGGGGGAUAAAAAACGGGACGCGUCCCGUCUUGCAGGUACCCGUGCGAAUAAGGACCGGCUAAUUCCGUGCCAGCAGCCGCGGUAAUACGGAAGGUCCGAGCGUUAUCCGGAUUUAUUGGGUUUAAAGGGAGCGUAGGCGGAGAUGUAAGCCAGCCGUCAAAUCGUGGUGCUCAACGCCAUCCAGCGGUUGGAACUGCAUCCCUUGAGUGCACUAGAGGAAGGCGGAAUUCGUCGUGUAGCGGUGAAAUGCUUAGAUAUGACGAAGAACUCCGAUUGCGAAGGCAGCUGACUGUAGCGUAACUGACGCUGAUGCUCGAAAGUGCGGGUAUCGAACAGGAUUAGAUACCCUGGUA